rnacentral:rRNA from 1 species
AAUUUUGCGCAAUGGGCGAAAGCCUGACGCAGCAACGCCGCGUGAAUGUUAAGCCCUUCGGGGUGUAAAGUUCUGUCAGUGGGGACGAAACUUGACGGUACCCACAGAGGAAGCACCGGCUAACUCCGUGCCAGCAGCCGCGGUAAUACGGAGGGUGCAAGCGUUGUCCGGAAUCAUUGGGCGUAAAGAGUUCGUAGGUGGCAUGUUAAGUCUGGUGUUAAAUCCCGAAGCUCAACUUCGGUUCGGCACUGGAUACUGGCAAGCUUGAAUGCGGUAGAGGUAAGGGGAAUUCCUGGUGUAGCGGUGAAAUGCGUAGAUAUCAGGAGGAACAUCGGCGGCGAAAGCGCCUUACCGGGCCGUAAUUGACACUGAGGAACGAAAGCCGGGGUAGCAAAUGGG